CCUACGGGAGGCUGCAGCAAGGAAUUUUCCACAAUGGGCGCAAGCCUGAUGGAGCAACGCCGCGUGGGGGAUGACGCGUUUCGGCGUGUAAACCCCUUUUCGAGGGGACGAAGGCAAUGACGGUACCCUCGGAAGAAGGCCCGGCUAACUACGUGCCAGCAGCCGCGGUAAGACGUAGGGGCCGAGCGUUGUCCGGAGUUACUGGGCGUAAAGCGCGCGCAGGCGGAUCAGCGCAUCAUCGGUGAAAGCCCCCCGCUCAACGGGGGAGGGUCCGG
rnacentral:rRNA from 1 species